CAUUACUCUCUUCGGGCAUAUCACACAGAAAGUGGGACGGGGACACCCAAAGGGUUCAAUUUUGAACGGUGGUAGGUGAGUAAGGUUCCCUACUAGAAAGGAGAGGGCAAGUUGGGGCUAGCCGCCGCGGUAAAACCAGCUCUUCAAGUGGUCGGAAUAAUUAUUGGGCUUAAAGUGUCCGUAGCCGGUUUGGAAAGUUCCUGGUAAAAUCGGGUAGCUUAACUAUCUAUAUGCUAGGAAUACUACUAUACUAGAGGGGGGGGGAGGUCUGAGGAACUGCAGGGUUAGGGGUGAAAUCUUAUAAUCCUUGUUGGACCCCCAGUGGCGAAGGCGUCAGAUUGGAACGCGCCUGACGGUGAGGGACGAAAGCCAGGGGGAGCGAACCGGAUUAGAUACCCGGGUAGUCCCGCUGUAAACGAUGCAGACUCGCUGAUGAGUUGGCUUAUGCUAACUCAGGCCGCAGGGAAGCCGUUAGGUUGCCGCUGGGAGUACGGCGCAAGAUGAAACUUAAAGGAAUUGCGCGGAAAGGCGAUUCGUUUAACUGCAGGAUAGUCCUUAGUGAGGGUAUUCUACUUGCGUAUCAUGUCUAGUGUUCCGAACUUAGUGGUUAUCUGACUAGCGAAUCAGGCUGCUUACAGGACGCUUAAUUC
rnacentral:rRNA from 1 species